CCUCUGAGCAGGACAUACCGCAUCUGUCGACACACAACUAAUGUCACAACUCCUAGACAACAGAGACACGGGAAACUAAAGUCUUUACCAUCUGCAGGUACUGCUUCCAUUUCAGUUGUCCAGAUGGAGUUUUAGAUAUGACAAUGUCUUGGAGGGUGUCUGGAGGUGGUGGUGGCAGCAGAUUUUGCACAGCUCUGCACAGUACCAUGUACAGUCUUUUGGAGGAGGACCGGAGAAUGCUAAUGGCCACAUGAUCUGGCACAUUAGUUACAUUGUGGCCAUUCACCUGCAAAAUUCUGCCGUCUGAUUUGGCUGGAUUAUCCAGGACUUCCUGGACGUAAUAGCAGUUGUCCUGUUUACUCCUGGUAAUGGUAAAACCAAAGCUGCCACACCAUGAUUUGGCCUACACAAUCAGAAUUACUUUUCUGGGAUCUUCAUCAUCCUCUUCAUCUUCAUCAUCCCAGCCAUUGUUGCUAGUUGAAGGGGCACUGGACUGGGUGGGUGGCUGAUGUGUCGAUUCCGCAGGAGGUGCUUCCUGGU